rnacentral:rRNA from 1 species
GACGAACGCUGGCGGCGUGCUUAACACAUGCAAGUCGAACGGAAAGGCCCUGCUUUUGUGGGGUGCUCGAGUGGCGAACGGGUGAGUAACACGUGAGUAACCUGCCCUUGACUUUGGGAUAACUUCAGGAAACUGGGGCUAAUACCGGAUAGGAGCUCCUGCUGCAUGGUGGGGGUUGGAAAGUUUCGGCGGUUGGGGAUGGACUCGCGGCUUAUCAGCUUGUUGGUGGGGUAGUGGCUUACCAAGGCUUUGACGGGUAGCCGGCCUGAGAGGGUGACCGGCCACAUUGGGACUGAGAUACGGCCCAGACUCCUACGGGAGGCAGCAGUGGGGAAUAUUGCACAAUGGGCGGAAGCCUGAUGCAGCGACGCCGCGUGCGGGAUGACGGCCUUCGGGUUGUAAACCUCUUUCGCCUGUGACGAAGCGUGAGUGACGGUAAUGGGUAAAGAAGCACCGGCUAACUACGUG